rnacentral:rRNA from 1 species
CAGUCGCCGCGGUAAUACGUAGGUGGCAAGCGUUGUCCGGAAUUAUUGGGCGUAAAGGGCUCGCAGGCGGACAGUUCAGUCGGGGGUGAAAGCCCGGGGCUCAACCUCCGAAUUGCCUUCGAUACUGGCUGUCUUGAGUAUGAGAGAGGUGUGUGGAACUCCGAGUGUAGAGGUGAAAUUCGUAGAUAUUCGGAAGAACACCAGUGGCGAAGACGACACACUGGCUCAUUACUGACGCUGAGGCGCGAAAGCGUGGGGAGCGAACAGGAUUAGAUACCCGCGUAGUCCCUGUCUCUUAUAC